rnacentral:rRNA from 1 species
GACGAACGCUGGCGGCGUGCUUAACACAUGCCAGUCGAACGGAAAGGCCCUGCUUUUGUGUGGUGCUCGAGUGGCGAACGGGUGAGUAACACGUGAGUAACCUGCCCUUUACUUUGGGAUAACUUCAGGAAACUGGGGCUAAUACCGGAUAGGAGCUCCUGCUGCAUGGUGGGGUUUGGAAAGUUUCGGCGGGUGGGGAUGGACUCGCGGCUUAUGAGCUUGUUGGUUGGGUAGUGGCUUACCAAGGCUUUGACGGGUAGCCGGCCUGAGAGGGUGACCGGCGACAAUGGGACUGAGAUACGGCGCAGACUCCUACGGGAGGCAGCAGUGGAGAAUAUUGCACAGUGGGCGGAAGCCUGAUGCAGAAACGCCGCGAGCGGGAUGAAGGCCUUCGGGUUGUAAACCGCUUUCGCCUGUGACGAAGCGUGAGUGACGGUAAUGGGUAAAGAAGCACCGGCUAACUACGUG